UACGUAGGGGCAAGCGUUGUCCGGAUUUACUGGGUGUAAAGGGAGCGCAGACGGAACUGCAAGUCUGAUGUGAAAGCCCGGGGCUCAACCGCGGGACUGCAUUGGAAACUGUAGAUCUGGAGUGCCGGAGGGGCAAGCGGAAUUCCUGGUGUAGCGGUGAAAUGCGUAGAUAUCAGGAGGAACACCGGCGGCGAAGGCGGCUUGCUGGACGGCAACUGACGUUGAGGCUCGAAAGCGUGGGGAGCAAACAGGAUUAGAUACCCCUGUAGU
rnacentral:rRNA from 1 species